UCAAAGAUGGCGGCCUCCACAGAUUAUCGGAUUGGCCGAGAUUACACACGAACACGCCUGGAAACGUUCGAAACGAACUUUCCAAACGUAUUCAUUCCACGUAACCCGUUCUACAGGUGCUGAUGACACUCAACCCAGGAAGGCCAUCAGUGCACGAGAUGACAGCAGAUGAGAAGCUGAUUAUGCAAUGGAUUACCUGCUUCUACCUGCAGAUGGCAGAGUUAUAAUGAACACUAACCAAGUCCCAAUUUCUUUAACAUGCAUAAACAAUGAGUCUGUAAAAAGAUAAACAGCUAGUAGAAUUAGAAGUGUGCCUUUCUGUGAUGCAUUGUGGUACUAUGGCAUUUAUUAUGACUCAGAUUUGGAUGCUUUGAAAUCAUAGCUCUUUGGACUGUAUAUGUAAUUGUCAUGUUGAAGCUAAUAUGUAGCAUGCAGUAUCCUAGAUGCAAUGUUGUGAGGAACCAUUUUGCAUAUCCAUAUCUACAAAUAGAUUGCAAUUAUAUAUUUCAUGACUAUAUGUAUGCUGUCAGUAACUGUAAGUCCCUGAGGCAUGACUGAUUGACCAAGGAAGCAGAGCACUUUCUGAUGUUCGAAUUCUGUGUUUUAUCAAAACUCCUUUGAACAGGUAGCUAUGGAGAGGGGUGAAUUAAUUGUGUGUUUAAGAUGCUCUCCAGGAAAUGUUUAGGUAUAUAAUGUUGAGCAAUUCCUGAUGAUGUAGAGCUUUUCACCCUACAUUGUACACACAUGUAUGAGAUCAUUGUCAAAGUCAGAUGUAUGUGAUGGGACCUGGUGUGUAUCCUGCUAUGCAAUGCUGACUUUAAGUGUUAAUGACACCAAUGAUAGCAAUGUAUAACAUUUUGGUGAUUGUAAUCCAUUGAGAUAGAAUUACUAAUUGAAAAUAGAACUUUGCACUAAAAUAAACCCUCCUGGUGUUAUUGAACAUAAAACCAAUUGAA